UGGGGAAUUUUUGGACAAUGGGCGAAAGCCUGAUCCAGCCAUGCCGCGUGCAGGAUGAAGGCCUUCGGGUUGUAAACUGCUUUUGUACGGAACGAAAAGACUCUGGUUAAUACCUGGGGUCCAUGACGGUACCGUAAGAAUAAGCACCGGCUAACUACGUGCCAGCAGCCGCGGUAAUACGUAGGGUGCAAGCGUUAAUCGAAAUUACUGGGCGUAAAGCGUGCGCAGGCGGUUAUAUAAGACAGAUGUGAAAUCCCCGGGCUCAACCUGGGAACUGCAUUUUGUGACUGUAUAGCUAGAGUACGGCAGAGGGGGGAUGGAAUUUCCGCGUGUAGCAGUGAAAUGCGUAGAUAUGCGGAGGAACACCGAUGGCGAAGGCAAUCCCCUGGGCCUGUACUGACGCUCAUGCACGAAAGGCGUGGGGAGCAAACAGGAUUAGAUACCCUGGUAGUCCACGCCCUAAACGAUGUCAACU
rnacentral:rRNA from 1 species